CUUCACCGAUCCCAGCCACAACGGCCGGUCCCCGGGCCGGUCCUGGCCGUACGUGGUGAGCAGGGCCUGCGCCUC
rnacentral:antisense_RNA from 1 species